rnacentral:rRNA from 2 species
GACGAACGCUGGCGGCGUGCCUAACACAUGCAAGUCGAGCGGGGUGAGUUCUUCGGAACGAUCCUAGCGGCGGACGGGUGAGUAACACGUGGGUAACCUGCCUCAAAGUGGGGGAUAGCCUUUCGAAAGGAGGGCUAAUACCGCAUAAUAUCUUCCUCCCACAAGAGAAGAAGAUUAAAGAUGGCCUCUAUACUAUGCUAUCGCUCCAGGAUGAGCCUGCGUCCUAUUAGUUAGUUGGUGGGGUAACGGCCUACCAAGACCACAAUGGGUAGCCGGUCUGAGAGGAUGUACGGCCACACUGGGACUGAGAUACGGCCCAGACUCCUACGGGUGGCUG